GCCGGGUUAGCUCAGUUGGUAGAGCGACUGAUUUGUAAUCAGUAGGUCGUUGGUUCGAAUCCGAUACCCGGCA
rnacentral:tRNA from 1 species